rnacentral:rRNA from 1 species
UACGAAGGGGGCUAGCGUUGCUCGGAAUUACUGGGCGUAAAGGGCGCGUAGGCGGACAGUUUAGUCAGAGGUGAAAGUCCAGGGCUCAACCUUGGAAUUGCCUUUGAUACUGGCUGUCUUGAGUUCGGGAGAGGUGAGUGGAAUGCCGAGUGUAGAGGUGAAAUUCGUAGAUAUUCGGCGGAACACCAGUGGCGAAGGCGACUCACUGGCCCGAUACUGACGCUGAGGCGCGAAAGCGUGGGGAGCAAACAGG